UGCCCGCUUCCCAGGCUCCCAGUCCACUCUUUCCUCCCCAGCGGAUGCUUUCUGCUCUGAGUGGUGAUAAUAAUGGUCUUGGCUGGUUAGUAAACAGCUGUCUUCUUGUCCCUUAGGUGCUGCUUCUCCUCUCAACAACUCUGCAAGCCUGUGACUUCCGUCUUGCUGGCAUGCUUUUUCUGUCUACCACGUGCUCCCUUGGAUGAAGUCCGCUGCCAUGUUGUGAGCUGCCCCACGCAGAAGCUCAUGUGACAAGGAGCUGAGGCCCUCAGUCCAACUGAAUCCUGCCGCUGAAUGAGCUUGAAAGCAGAUCCUGUCCCCGUUGACUCUUGGGGUGACUGUGGUCCCAGCUGUUACCUUAAUUGAGAUCCUGAGCUAGAGGGCCCAGCUAAGCUGUACCCAGGUUCCUGAGCCACAGAAACUGUGAGGUAUCGUCACAGAUGCAUAAUCCUGAGCCAGAGAGAUCAUUACCCAACCACAAUGACGAAAGCUUCGGACAAGAUGACAUCAGGAACUAAAUUAAUCAGACAAAGGAAAACCACUGAAGCUUGCACAGGAACUAGCCAGUCAGCUUCACUCGUGACCCCCUAACACCUAACCCUCAAUCUUUGCCUUUAAAAACCCUUGAUUAAAAACCAUCAGGGAGUUCAGGUGUUAAGCAAUAGCUUCCUGUUCUCCUGGCUUGGUGACCUGCCAAAAAAUUCCUUUAAUUUCUCCUCUGUGAAACUCAAGUGUUCAGUGUUUGGCUCUGCUGUGCAUCGAAUGGCCAGACAAUAUUCGGUUCAAUAACGCUGGUGAUACCCCAGGAGAGUUCUGGAAUUCCUCCCUUGCACCUUCUUGGCUUCCAUGAGCUGAUCACAGGGUUUCUGCUGGGAAAUGACCAGUCUCCCAUCCCAUCUCAAAAGAUAGGCAGGUGUCCCCACUGGACGGGGACAUAUGCAUGCAAAGUUGUGCUGACUUCCACGGAGGAGGAAAAAGCAAGCAGCCAAGCCUCAGCUGCCAGCUAAAUGUAAUCUAGUUUAGGAAGGUUUGGAGAAAAGGUUUUACUGCUCCUUCCUCUACCCCACGCCCACAGUGGUCUCACCCCCGGUGUGGGAGGCAGGGGGUGGGGGGGGGCUGCACCAGCUUCAGUCAGGCUUUUCAGCUCCAACCUCACCCUUCACCGUUACUUUGGGCAAGUCGUUUUCUCUCUCUGAGCCUCCAUUUUCCGUCUUUAAUUCUGUAGCCUUUAGUUUUCUCAUCUGUAAAUGCAAAUAACAAAAUCUGUUUGACAGAGCUAUUUUGAGGAUGAAUAUGUGAAAAGAAAUGGUUAAAUACGUUAAGUGAAAGAUGUAGGUUAAAAAGUGCCAUGAUCUCAAUCAUAUUAGAAUAAGUAUAUAUGUAUAGGCUCAAACGUUACUGCACAGGAAAUACCCAGCCCAUUUGUGACAGACUCAGGGGAACAGUGGGGGCUAGUGACGAAAAGCACGCACUAGAGCUAGACUGGGUACAAAUCCCCGUUCCACCCCUUCCUACCUGUGUGGAUGUGAGUCAAUCACCUCACUUCUCUGUACCUCAGUUUCCUCAACUAGAAAUUGGAGACAAUAAUAAUAAUAAUCAAUACCUACCUCCUGAAGAUGGUUGCCAAGGAAAUACCAGUGACAUACACCAUGUCCGACACACCGUAGGCACGCAAUAAAUGCUGCAGCUCUCUGUGGGCAGUGCUCACAAUGAUUUUCAGGCUUUCGUAGAACUUCCCGAGGUUCCUACAUCAAUUAUGAGUUACUUCCACAUCUCUG